rnacentral:rRNA from 1 species
CCUACGGGAGGCAGCAGUGGGGAAUAUUGCACAAUGGGGGAAACCCUGAUGCAGCGACGCCGCGUGAGUGAAGAAGUAUUUCGGUACGUAAAGCUCUAUCAGCAGGGAAGAAAAUGACGGUACCUGACUAAGAAGCCCCGGCUAACUACGUGCCAGCAGCCGCGGUAAUACGUAGGGGGCAAGCGUUAUCCGGAUUUACUGGGUGUAAAGGGAGCGUAGACGGCAGCGCAAGUCUGGAGUGAAAUCCCAUGGCUUAACCAUGGAACUGCUUUGGAAACUGUGCAGCUAGAGUGCAGGAGAGGUAAGCGGAAUUCCUAGUGUAGCGGGGAAAUGCGUAGAUAUUAGGAGGAACACCAGUGGCGAAGGCGGCUUACUGGACUGUAACUGACGUUGAGGCUCGAAAGCGUGGGGAGCAAACAGGAUUAGAUACCCCGGUAGUC